ACCACCUACCCGCAAUACUGCACAUCUCCCCCUCUCCCUCCCCUGCAAUGGAGUCUUGCUCUCACGGCCGUCGCGCUCUCCCUAGGCAUCUCCCUGCACGGCUGCGUGCCUACGGGCGCAACGACGGGCAGCGACCCAGGUGCAGGGAUGGCUGCCGCUGAUGGCGCCGUCGAAGGAAAUCAUGGGCACGGAGGGGCCCGGCCGGCGGCGGGGAUUUGGAGAAGAGCCGACGUCCUACCAGUUGGCCGGAAAGAAGACGUGCCACGCUAGAGGUGGACCGGGAGAAGGACGAUGGCUCCCGAUGUACAAUUUGGUCGCCUUUCAAUUUUUGGAGACGAAUAUUUGGCUAGUGAAAAACACAAAUUACAUUGAUAUUAAGGAGAGCUGAAGAUUUUCCAGUUUCAAAGCUGAUUUUUAAUUCAUCUUAGAUGUAUUUAGUUGGACUGUAAUAAUGAAGUGAAUUGGCGUUGUUACGAUUCUUUUCUUUGUUGACAGAUGAAAAAUAUCAUCUCUGCCUCGGGCUUCAACUAUCUCGUGUGCAGUGUUGAUGUCAACCUUGCGCGUCUAUGGGUUGACGCACCACUCCUCCGAGUCGGCCAGGGUGAUAGUGCCGCCAGCGCAGUCGAGCUCGCACAAUGUUAUUGUUGCUGGACAGGAACAGAACGCGUAGCAGUAUCAGAUUGAACCAUGGGUUUCUAUUGAUAUUCUUGCAGGUCCUCAUCCUUAAGAAAACCUGACAAGAAAAACUUGUAAAAACCCCAUCCCCCUUCGUGUAAAACACUGGGGAAAAUCAAUGUAAAUUCCGUUUCUGCUCA